rnacentral:rRNA from 1 species
GACGAACCGUCCUAACGUUGUUCGGAAUCACUGGGCUUAAAGGGCGCGUAGGCGGCCCUGUAAGUCGGGGGUGAAAGCCCACGGCCCAACCGUGGAAGUGCCUCCGAUACUGCGGGGCUCGAGGGAGGUAGGGGCAGCGGGAACUUCCGGUGGAGCGGUGAAGUGCGUUGAUAUCGGAAGGAACGCCGGUGGCGAAAGCGCGCUGCUGGACCUCUGCUGACGCUGAGGCGCGAAAGCCAGGGGAGCAAAGC